GCGAACAGAAUAGGAGCUCGGUCCUCGACGUAGCGGCGGACGGGUGAGUAAACGUGGGGUAACUACCUAUAAGAGUGGGAAAACUCCGGGAGACCGGGGCUAACGCCGGAGAACAACCAGAGCCGCAUGGGUACUAAAGUGAAAGAGCGGCCCCGCUAUCACUUAUAGAUGGACCCGCGCCGUAUUAGCUAGUUCGGUAAGGUAAUGGCUUACCAAGGCAACGAUACGUAGCCGACCUGAGAGGGUGAUCGGCCACACUGGAACUGAGACACGGUCCAGACUCCUACGGGAGGCAGCAGUAGGGAAUCUUCCGCAAUGGGCGAAAGCCUGACGGAGCAACGCCGCGUGAGUGAUGAAGGGUUUCGGCUCGUAAAACUCUGUUAUUAGGGAAGAACAAACGUGUAAGUAACUGUGCACGUCUUGACGGUACCUAAUCAGAAAGCCACGGCUAACUACGUGCCAGCAGCCGCGGUAAUACGUAGGUGGCAAGCGUUAUCCGGAAUUAUUGGGCGUAAGCGCGCGUAGGCGGUUUCUUAA
rnacentral:rRNA from 1 species